rnacentral:tRNA from 4 species
CGGGGAGUGGCUCAGAGGUAGAGCGCUCGCUUGGGGUGCGAGAGAUCGCGGGUUCGAUUCCCGCCUUCCCGACCA